rnacentral:rRNA from 1 species
GACGAACGCUGGCGGCGUGCUUAACACAUGCAAGUCGAACGGAGUUAAGGAGCUUGCUUCUUGACUUAGUGGCGAACGGGUGAGUAACGCGUGAGGAACCUGCCUUUCAGUGGGGGACAACAGUUGGAAACGACUGCUAAUACCGCAUGAUACUAUCGGGCCGCAUGGUCUGAUAGUCAAAGAUUUAUUGCUGAAAGAUGGCCUCGCGUCUGAUUAGCUAGUUGGUGGGGUAACGGCCCACCAAGGCGACGAUCAGUAGCCGGACUGAGAGGUUGACCGGCCACAUUGGGACUGAGAUACGGCCCAGACUCCUACGGGAGGCAGCAGUGGGGAAUAUUGGGCAAUGGGCGAAAGCCUGACCCAGCAACUCCGCGUGAAGGAAGAAGGCCUUCGGGUUGUAAACUUCUUUUACCAGGGACGAACACAAUGACGGUACCUGGAGAAAAAGCAACGGCUAACUACGUGCCAGCAGCCGCGGUAAAAC